CCGAGUGAGGGCCUCUGGCCCGACCUCCAACCCUUUGUUAUUAAAACCACUGUUGCCUCGGGGGCGCCCUACAGCCUACUGGCGUCGGGGCCCCCGGCGGACCAUUUAUAAACUCUGCAUCUUUGCGUCGGGUUUAAAAGUUUAAUUGAUUA
rnacentral:misc_RNA from 1 species